AUAUUGCUUAUAGGCCUUGUUAGAGCCUGAUAUGUAACAAUGACCCAAAAUGUAAAAAAUAAUAAUAAUAAUAAUUAUAAUAAAAUAUCAUAAAACCUAAAAUGUAAUAACUGGUCGAUAAUGUAACAAGAUGCUGAGCCCAAAAUGUAAUAACUUUUUGCCCAAAAUGUAACAACUUGUUACAUUUUGAGUUUCAUUACAUUCUGGGUCAACACUUUUGUUACAUUGUUGACAAAUUAUUAUAUUUUGCGUUUUUUUACAUUUGUCUGAUAACAUUUUGGGUUAUUGUUACAUAUCGGAGCUGCAAUAAUAAUAAAUAAUCUAUCAGUACUAGUCUGAUUUCAACAGUAUAGCUUUAUUAUUUGUUUCCUUCAAACAUGGUGAAUAUCCAGUUUCUUACAGAUUUGCAUUUGAAUGUUUUUUUUUUGCGUGUUUGAACUUUGAGUAUUGUGGUUUAUCAAUGAACAUUACAGAGUUUUAAGUUGUCUCUUCAAUUCUGAUAAACUUAUUUGGAAGUUUUCCUCAUUUAAUAGACAAAAUAAUAGAAUGAUUAAUUCAAAUAAGCUCAUCUGCAUAUCAUCUGUUGCAAGACUUUUCUUGUAGUUUUGUGUUACAUUUGUCAACAAAUUUGAACCGUUUCAGUAACAUCUUCAAGGAUUAGCUUCAGAGUACUUUCCACGGCCGUGUCACGUUUUCUCCCUCGCUGUACUUCAUACAAAGUAAAACUCCAGCACAGCUCAUGUUGCAGAGCUGGUUUGCGGUUACCUUUUGAAAGCCAGGCUCACAGGGGUUACCCGGGGGUGACGCACGCCUCAGCUGUUCUGCAGCUCUUCGUUCUCAAAGCGACAUUCUGCCUUGAUUAGGCAUUAAUGCUUCAUUAAAUGUGAGUAACUGUAUUCAAGGGGAAUGAAUUUUUCAGCAUGUGUCUGUGUGUUGUGACUCGAGAGUUGUUUUGUAGAGCCGUAGCUACAAGACAUUCGUAAUCCUGCAACACGGCGACUACAGACUUUUGCAGACCUUAAGUCAAAAAUACAUCAAAUUCAAACAUUUUGUAAAGCAACUCCAAUAUUUAAGGUAAACCAUUUAAAAGAUGGUCAUGUAUUUUUGUCCCUGCCUUAAAACUCAGUCAAGUAUUUAAAAGUAUAAAGAAAUUAUUCGACUCUUCACCUUUCCACCUCUGGCAGUAGUGCGUGUACUCCGGGUUAAAGCAUGCCAAGCUCUCCUAAAUCUGUUACUGUUCUGGGAGUUUCAGUGCGCGACAGGAACAAAGCACAUCCAUUCAUCUUCCAUUCGGCUGGUAAAACCGUUCAACUUCUGUUUAAUUAUAGAGAUAGCAAGGCUUAAUAGGAUGAAUGAACAGCCUGAUUAGCAUGCUUAAACAUGGGUAAUUGAACCACAGCCAAUAUUAUUAGCUGCCAUAAAAAAGGAAACCUCAACCUGAGCCAGAGCCGGAGUAUCCUUAAGAGAAAAAACGAGUGCUGGUCUGUUUGUUUUUAUACAUUCAUUUCUAAAUAUGUGGAUAUAAGCUCAUCUGAGGACUCUUUAAAUGCUGUGUGUAUCUUUGACCUUUAUUAUCGGCCUAAGCCUACCAACUGCAUUUUAACAGCAGUAAUAUCAAAACAAAUUAUCUAUAAUAAUGCUGAUAGAGUCCUUUUACUACAGUGAUACUUCACUUAAAGAACUUUAUUAUACUUACUAAACUGGAUGAAAAUGUGAUCAAAGUGAAGGAUCUGAGCUCCUCCACCACUCAUACUCAAUCACAGUCUGCAGAUCGUUUCAUAAUUCAGCCUUUUCAACCCUUCAGCUUUACAACAUCAAGACCUUGACUUUUAUGUCAUAAUGACAAGGACCGAUGACACUCACAGUUUAGCCUGACAUUUGUUAGCUCGUAAACCCUGGUGAUCAACGCAGCCUCUAUCUGGUUGUGCUGCCUCUGUCCCCCACACACACACCCGCCUCUUCCUGCUCCUCUCCCUGCUCUCCUCUCUCUACCUGUGGCUGUGUGAUAGUUUGUGCUGCUGCAGCACAACGUAUUGAAGAUACAGCAGUCCCCACUUAUCACAUUUUUCAGCAUUCCCCACACCUCUCUCACCCAGACUGUAUCAGACAUCGAUCUAGGCACCUGAUAAUGAAGUUAAAGUGAGAGCUGGUGGAGGAGAGGGUCAGAGCAAAGCUAUGCUGUGAGGGAAUGAAGAUAAGGGACACUCCAUUCACCAUACAGGACGAAACAAGAACAACGGGGCAGAGUUGCACCUUUAUUUAAGUAUGAUUUUCUUGUUUUCAUACUUUACCUUCAGUAGAAAUGUUCAUGCUAAAUCUAUACUGCAUGAUUACAACAACAACAGCCGCUCUACAGCAGCCUACAGUUACUCUACAGGGAAAACAGAAACACAGUACAGUCUAUUACAUUACAUUACAUUACAUAAGCAACUCUGUGGUUACAUCCUCAUAGAGUGGAAAUAUUUUAAAUUAGAGGGGGGAAUAGUCUAACAGCUGCCUACAUAUGCAAUACGAUCGUUCAGCCAAGUGUUAAAAGCAGAGCUGUGUUCAAAACUACCAAAGAAAUACGACAUCUGAAAACUAACAUAGCACAACAGGUUCAUUAUGGCAGAAAAAGACGGAAGCAUCAAUCUGGACUUUAAAAGAAAGUAUAAAUAUCUGUGAGGAGACCAGAAAGAUUGCAGAGACGGGGGUUAAAUGUGUCACUUGAUCUUCAUGGAGGUUUGUAUGUCAUGUUUUGGAUCCGCUGUUUUUCCUGCUGUAGACGCCUCAUGUCAGACACGUGGAGCUGUACAGAAAAGUUGGUGACAACAUCGGAGGUAAUUUAAAACAUGAUAUGACUGCUGUUACUUUGACGACAGAUAUUUGGAGGUUUCUGAUGUUAAUCCCAUGUCACUGCUGAGCCCCGCUGCACAUGGAUUGAUUCUCUUUCCAACAUCAAGUGAUCCAAGUUGGUUGAUACUGUAUUCUGGUUUAGGAAUAAGUGAGAAAAAAGAAGUAAGAAAGCCAAGUCAGAGUAUGUAAACCAGAUUUCAUGUAUCUGGACUAAGUUUGAUUGAAUAGUUCAAGAAGUUCUUUUUAAUUAUUGGCUUAUUUAAGUUAUUUUUGUAGAAGAAAACAACAAAAAUUAACACACAGCUCUGUUACUCAGGCAAAUAAAAGUUUCAGAUCAAAUAUUCAAUGUUUUAAAAAAUCUGAUCAGAAGCCCCAAAAGACUGAUUGGGACAUCCUCAGCCAACAAAAAGCAUAAAGGUGUGUCAUCCCUACAUAUCUUUGUCUGUCACUCUCUUGCCUUGUGAGGUUGUGACCUCUCUGACAGGCCUUCAUGUAUACAGCGAGGAUUAGUGGUGAGGUCAUGCCCUUUGAAAGAAGGCUAAAAAAAGGUUUGAGGCUUAGGCAUGACUCCCUCUAAUCCAGCAGUAAAACUCAAGGUUGAAAAAUGUGUCAAGAGAAAAUUAAGCUGCUACAUAUCUAGAAAAUCUGAUAAUUGUCAGCCAGAGAAGUCCUUCAGAGCAUUACCAUCCCUUUGACACAGUCUAUUCCCAUUUCAUCUAGGGAUUUGUUUCCGCUGAUAAUAGGUAAAAUUAAGGUUUAUUUGCUUUAGGGUACACACAGAGAGGAAUAAUUCUAACAUGUCUAAUAAUCCUCUAUGUGAUUUGGCAGCUUGAAUGUAUUCAUCCAGGUAAAGUAGAGGUCUUUGCAUGAUACCCAUCUGUGUAGAAAUUGCAGUCACUUCAGAAUCACAGCAGAAAAACAGGCGCUUUAACCUCUGUGUGACUGUGAAAUUACUCAUGACCUCGAAACACAUUUGUUUGCCCUCUGAAAUAAUGUUUUCCUAUAGAUUCAAUUAUGUAAGAUUGCAAAUAAACAUUGUUUGUCCUGCUCUGUGGGGUCAGCUAUCAUGUAAGGGAAACUGCGCCAAGGACAAUGUAGAGCAGGAGGAUGAAGACAUCAGACUGGUGAACAAAAGCAGGUCCAAAAAAUUCAGAUGGUUACCAGCUAAUGGAUUUCUGAUUAAAUGACUUUCCUAUUCCCCGUAUAUCAAAUAAAAUUAAUUAGUAAUCUGGCGGCACUUCACCAUUUAUCAGAGGUUUAAUGGGCUUCUGCCAAACAUGGAUUACUCUAAUGGGUUUGGUGGCAUCCUUUAAGUCCACUACUGUCCUCCAUGACACUAAAUCUGUGUAACUCUGAAAAUUUAUCAUGCCACAAAGUCACAGACACAUUUUAGACUCAACAUUUUAUCCAUCCUACAGCAGCAAAACGGUUGUUGUCAUUCUUCAAUCCGGGACAGUAGUGAAUCUAGUUUGCUAUUGCUGUGUUGAUGUUUAAGUAUCGUAUUGGUCAUAGCCUUUGGGUCCCAAAUGAAACCAGUAAAUCUGCACAAUAAUAGCAUUAAGUGCAUAAAAAAUGACCAGAAAACCAUCAUUUGAAUCUCUAGAAAUAGAAAGAAACCAAUAAAGUUAUUUGGCAUGCAACAUUUUGGCUUGUUGUUGGGUCUAAAACCUGCAACAAAUGACUGAAAACAUAUAAAGAAGAGAAAGACAAUGGUUUCUUACUCGAGGAGAAUGGACAGAGAUAGUUUCAGUUGCAAUCUCAAAACCAUUCUGAAGGUAUUUCCGCCCAGUCUCUUUAUUUAGGGUUGUCCCUGGUUACACAAUGUUACUAAAGGAUGGGGGAAAAACUAUGUGCAGCAACGUAAGCACUCUCAUAAAACAUAAUUAUGAACAACAGAUAAUAUGUGAGGGUCAAGGCGACAUUGUUGACAUUAAACGAGCUCUUUCUGAUAGGAGCGGAUCCUCCUCAUUACUUCCCACGAUUCACAGUGGAGGCUACAUCACACACAUACCUGCUAAUAGGAGAAACAAGGUCACAGAGAAGUUAAGAAACACUCAUGUGCUGUGUAAUAAAGCUAUUGGAGAGAGAAGUUAGAAAACACUCUUAUAUGAUGUGUAACAAGAGGUUAAAACAGUCCAUACUUGUAGCAAACUCUUACAUAAGAAUUUGAGUAAGAUAAUAACUUCUAUAUACAUUUAUACACAUUAUUCUGACACUUGUUUUGCAGAGUUUUUACUGUUUUCUGUAAGGAGUUAAAAUAAUGUUGCGUAAUACUCUUCUUUUAUCAUUGUCUGAAACAGAUUUCUGCAAUUAAUUACUGUAUGUACACUGCACUCAUCAGUUUGGAGAAAGGCAGCUCCCGUGGUCGAUACAUCACGCCAGACGAAUCGAUGUCGGCUUAACUUCCUUCCCUCAGUCACAUUUCAUUUCAACCAAUCCCCCUCAAGACAUCUGUGAUGUUAAGAGCCGAGCGACUGUCCUCAGGUGCCCGUGUAAGGUCACAUCUCAAAGGCGAGACAACCACAGUAAUCCCAGCGAUGAUUUGGGGUUUUAGUCAAAUUCAUGCAGCUUUUUAUUUCAACAGCAGUCCAGAAAUUGAUUGUGAACCCACUUAAGUGGGGUCACCUCAUUUUCUGUCUGUCCACGGUCAGCUGGCUCUUUCACAUCCAAUAUUUCCCCGCUGUCAUGAGUCAGAUUCAUUUUGCUCAGUCAAUGUGUGUGUUUGUGUUUACUCAGGAUCUGUGCAAGCACUGAUGAGAUGCACACUGUCCCAGCUCGCUGCAUGACAGCUUUCUGCGAAUCAAAACAGGCGACUCGGAUUAGAAUUCAAGAGCUGUCCUGCUGCUGUUUGGCCUCUUCCUCUGCUGCUUUGUCUGUCUGUGUCUGCUCGCUCUAUUUGUCUACAGAUCACACAUACACAACCACAAACGCCAGCCAGCCUCUCUGGGGUCAGGUUUGUGACCCUUUCAACUCUUAUACUCUAGGUGGGUCUUACUUAUAUAACUUUUUUGUGGUUUAUUAUCUUUUAACUACUCUUGUAAGAAAGUGUUGAAUAUGUGCAUAAUUCUGAUAUCAGUAUAUUAAAGAAAUAUUAGAGUACUGCUGUCCAGAGGUGAAAGUAGGAUAAGGUUCUUGCAGGUAAACUGUACCUGUAGGCUUUGUACAAGAGGAGUACACCCAAGUUUAACGAGAUGAAAAUUGUAACAAGAACUUUCACAAAAUAGAUUUAUUUGUCAAUAUUGCAUUACAUCGAGUGGGUUUCAAAUGUGGGUGCUGUUGUGUGUGAAAGAUAUUUAGAGACGCCAAGACCCGCCUUACGUUGCUUCUGAUUGGUUUAUAUUAUUGUUAGGGUGAUUUUCUUUAGCCAGUCAUGUCAGCCUUUAGGGUGGUGGAGCUGUGUCACUUAAAUACCUCAGAUACUUUGGUGCUAGAUUUCUGGAGCCAUGGGCCUCUGACAACCAUCCUCAACAAGGAGCUUGUACCCAUGUUUAACAUCACUCAGGCUCCAAAAAUAUGUUAUGCUUUAUUAUUACCCUACAUGGACUCUCCUUUAGGUCAACAAGGUGCAAGCGGAAUGUUUGGAAACGUGGACGACUAUAUAUACUUGAACAGUCUCAGACCAAUUUUUGUUACACUUGUGUUACACUUGUGGCAUGAUGAAGCUGUAACCCAGAUCUGCAACCAGUAAAGCUUGUCAAAAUGAUCAUUCGUGUGGACCUUCCAUUUUUUAAAGUGUGAACAUGGGCUAGGCAUCCUUACAAUUGUUGGUGCCAUCCGUGGUUGGUUAGCGUUUGAGUUACCUAGCGUUUGAGAGUCCCUGUGAUGACGCUUGGCUCAAA